AAAGACUUGACGGUACUUCACAACGACCUAGAGGAGCCUGUCUAACAACCGAUACUCCACGAUUAACCUCACCCACCCUAGCCCAACAGUCUAUAUACCGCCGUCGCCAGCUCACCUUGUGAAAGAAAUAAAGUGAGCACAAUGGACUACCCCCACACACGACAGGUCGAGGUGUAACUUAUGGGUGGGUAAAAGAUGGGCUACAUUUUCUAAUACAGAACACACGAACAUACUAUGAAACUAGAAACUGAAGGCGGAUUUAGCAGUACGAUAGGAAUAGAAUCCCUAACUGAAACUAACGCAAUGAAGUGCGUACACACCGCCCGUCAUCCCUG
rnacentral:rRNA from 1 species